rnacentral:rRNA from 1 species
UACGGGGGGGGCAAGCGUUGUUCGGAAUUACUGGGCGUAAAGGGCUCGUAGGCGGCCAACUAAGUCAGACGUGAAAUCCCUCGGCUUAACCGGGGAACUGCGUCUGAUACUGGAUGGCUUGAAUCCGGGAGAGGGAUGUGGAAUUCCAGGUGUAGCGGUGAAAUGCGUAGAUAUCUGGAGGAACACCGGUGGCGAAGGCGGCAUCCUGGACCGAGAUUGACGCUGAGGCGCGAAAGCUAGGGGAGCAAACGGG